rnacentral:rRNA from 1 species
UACGUAGGGUGCAAGCGUUAAUCGGAAUACUGGGCGUAAAGCGUGCGCAGGCGGUUUUGUAAGUCUGUUGUGAAAUCCCCGGGCUCAACCUGGGAAUGGCAAUGGAGACUGCAAGGCUAGAGUUUGGCAGAGGGGGGGUAGAAUUCCACGUGUAGCAGUGAAAAUGCGUAGAUAUGUGGAGGAACACCGAUGGCGAAGGCAGCCCCCUGGGUCAAAAACUGACGCU